UACGGCCAUAUGACGUUGAAACACCGGCUCCCGUACGAUGAACGAAGUUAAGUAACAUCGAGCCUGGUCAGUACCUAGAUAGGUGAUCUCUUGGGAAUAUCAGGUGCUGUAAG